rnacentral:tRNA from 1 species
GAAGGUAUAGCUCAGUGGUAAAGCAUGUGCUUACCAUGCACAGGGUCCAGAGUCCAAUCCCCAGUACUGCCA